ACAGAUCAAACAGCCAUCAUGACUUUCAUCAUCAUCUUCACCUGGAUGAUCAUCACCUGCACCUCCAACUCUUUAGGACAGGUUUUAACUCAGUCUGGAGAUCAGACAGUGCAGCCUGAUCACACCGUCACUAUUACCUGUAAACAUGAUCCAGCAAUUGACUGUUUUAACAAAGAUACAAAAAAGCGCUGUAUAUCCUGGUAUCAUCAGAUUCCUGGAGAAGCUCCUAAACUCCUGAUAUAUCACACUGAUGAAAGAGCUUCUGGAGUUUCUUCUAGAUUCAGUGGAAGUGAGAAUGGAAACAAGAUAGAUUUCUCUCUGACCAUCAGUAAAGUCCAGCCUGAAGAUUCAGGAGUUUAUUACUGUCAGAGUCAACAUAACAUAGGAGAGUCCCCAAACUUUGUGUGGGUGUUCACACAGUGAAAUAUCAUCGUACAAAAACCUCCUUCAGUCUGACUCUACACUGCAGCUGCAGAUACUGAAAGAGGAA